GACGAACGCUGGCGGCGUGCCUAAUACAUGCAAGUAGAACGCACAGUUUAUACCGUAGCUUGCUCCACCAAAGACUGUGAGUUGCGAACGGGUGAGUAACGCGUAGGUAACCUUCCUGGUAGCGGGGGGUAUCUAUUGGAAACUAUGGUUAUUACCGCCAUAUUUUAUUUUUUAAAUGUUAUUUAGUUGAAGGUGGCAAUUCGACCUCUCCCCGUGGGACUUGCGUUGUAUUCGCUCGUGGCUGCGGUAAGGGCCCACCUAGGGGCCGAUACAUAGCCGACCGGAGAGGGUGAUCGGCCACACUGGGACUGGAACACGGCCCAGACUCCUACGGGAGGCAGCAGUAGGGAAUCUUCGGCAAUGGACGAAAGUCUGACCGAGCAACGCCGCGUGAGUGAAGAAGGUGUUCGGAUCGUAAAGCUCUGUUGUAAGAGAAGAACGUGUGUGAGAGUGGAAAGUGCACACGGUGACGUAAUCGUAGCAGAAAGGGACGGCGAACUACGU
rnacentral:rRNA from 1 species